CGCGGUAAUACAGAGGGUGCAAGCGUUAAUCGGAAUUACUGGGCGUAAAGCGCGCGUAGGUGGUUUGUUAAGUUGGAUGUGAAAUCCCCGGGCUCAACCUGGGAACUGCAUUCAAAACUGACUGACUAGAGUAUGGUAGAGGGUGGUGGAAUUUCCUGUGUAGCGGUGAAAUGCGUAGAUAUAGGAAGGAACACCAGUGGCGAAGGCGACCACCUGGACUGAUACUGACACUGAGGUGCGAAAGCGUGGGGAGCAAACAGGAUUA
rnacentral:rRNA from 1 species